rnacentral:rRNA from 1 species
CACGUAGGGCGCAAGCGUUGUCCGGAAUUAUUGGGCGUAAAGAGCUCGUAGGCGGUCUGUUACGUCUGCUGUGAAAACCCAGGGCUUAACCCUGGGCUUGCAGUGGAUACGGGCAGACUAGAGGCAGGUAGGGGAGAAUGGAAUUCCCGGUGUAGCGGUGAAAUGCGCAGAUAUCGGGAGGAACACCGAUGGCGAAGGCAGAUCUCUGGGCCGUAACUGACGCUGAGGAGCGAAAGCGUGGGGAGCGAACAGG